AUUAUAUUGUAACAUGAAUGGUUAUGAGUGUAUAUUGUACUGCUAACUGCUCUAUGCCAAAUUCAAGGUUCUUAGAAGAACCUUGUUCUUAAGGGGGGGAUGUUACGACCCCUUCCUUCUCCUGCAGGAGGCUGCAGGCAGGGAGGCUGAUUGGGCUGCACCUGUGCAGCUCUCUUCAGAGCUUAUUUAGCCAGGACUGAUCAGUGUUUUGUCUUCCAACCAACGAUACUUCAACAAAACUACAAGCUCGUGCAGAUUGUUCUGCUCUGGACUACAUAAUGUUGGUUAUGCGUGUGGCUGAACUCCUCCUAAUUACUGUGAUUACUGUUCUUCUCAUCAGAGCUCGAGAGACUACCUGACAACAACACAGUGACCUACAGCAGCGUGAAAGCUUCCUCUUCUUCUGCUGGAGCCUCAGCUGAUCCCAGCGACCUCUACGCCACCGUCAACAAACCAAACAAAUAAGAGACCACAGUGUAGUUACAGCUCAUAUCAUUACAGGUAAUUUACACUGAGAACUGAUAAAUGUUUUAUUAUUUGAAUUAUUUUAUGAUAAUAUAUGGGACAUUUAGCUUGAUGAACUUGCUGUCAGGCACUUUAAUGUGCUAGUGCUGUGUUGUAGUUAAACAUGUAUUAGUUUUUACUGUUAUUUCUGUAUCAGCUGUUAUUGUUUGAUAUGCAGUCAUUUUAACAUCUAUAUUUCUGUAGAGGUUUAACACCUCCAGAGCUCUUUGCACCUUCUUCUUCUUCGUCUUCCUUUCAUGUGGUGAAACGGGUCAUUGACACAAAUACAGUGUGAACUUUUUGUGAUAGUGCUAAAUGGUAAGUAAAGGCUGUUAAAUGCUUCCUUUCUUAGCUCCUUUA